GACGAACGCUGGCGGCGUGCCUAAUACAUGCAAGUCGAACGCUUUUUCUUUCACCGGAGCUUGCUCCACCGAAAGAAAAAGAGUGGCGAACGGGUGAGUAACACGUGGGUAACCUGCCCAUCAGAAGGGGAUAACACUUGGAAACAGGUGCUAAUACCGUAUAACACUAUUUUCCGCAUGGAAGAAAGUUGAAAGGCGCUUUUGCGUCACUGAUGGAUGGACCCGCGGUGCAUUAGCUAGUUGGUGAGGUAACGGCUCACCAAGGCAACGAUGCAUAGCCGACCUGAGAGGGUGAUCGGCCACAUUGGGACUGAGACACGGCCCAGACUCCUACGGGAGGCAGCAGUAGGGAAUCUUCGGCAAUGGACGAAAGUCUGACCGAGCAACGCCGCGUGAGUGAAGAAGGUUUUCGGAUCGUAAAACUCUGUUGUUAGAGAAGAACAAGGAUGAGAGUAGAAUGUUCAUCCCUUGACGGUAUCUAACCAGAAAGCCACGGCUAACUACGUGCCAGCAGCCGCAGUAA
rnacentral:rRNA from 1 species